rnacentral:rRNA from 1 species
AGUAAUGUAUGGGGAUCUGCCUGAUGGCGGAGGAUAACUACUGGAAACGGUAGCUAAUACCGCAUAACGUCGCAAGACCAAAGAGGGGACCUUCGGGCCUCUUGCCAUCGGAUGUGCCCAGAUGGGAUUAGCUAGUAGGUGGGGUAACGGCUCACCUAGGCGACGAUCCCUAGCUGGUCUGAGAGGAUGACCAGCCACACUGGAACUGAGACACGGUCCAG